CGGCGACCGGCGCGACGGGUGAGUAACGACGUACUACCAACCUCGCCCACGAGGUAGGGAUACGGCCCGGCGAAAGUCGGAUUUAAUACCCUAUGUUUUCCCUUGAGAGCAUUUGACGGGGAACAAAGGUUUACCGCUAUGGGAUGGGGAUGCGUCCGAUUAGGCGGACGGCGGGGUAACGGCCCACCGUGCCUUCGAUCGGUAGGGGUUCUGAGAGGAAGGUCCCCCACAUUGGAACUGAGACACGGUCCAAACUCCUACGGGAGGCAGCAGUGAGGAAUAUUGGUCAAUGGGCGCGAGCCUGAACCAGCCAAAAGUAGCGUGCAGGAUGGCGGCCCUAUGGGUUGUAAACUGCUUUUGCCGGGGAAUAAAGUGCGGGACGUGUCCCGUUUUGUAUGUACCCGGAGAAUAAGGACCGGCUAAUUCCGUGCCAGCCGCCGC
rnacentral:rRNA from 1 species